UAGGGGUAUAGUUUAAAGGUAGAACGAAGGUCUCCAAAACCUUUGGUGUGGGUUCAAUUCCUACUACCCCUGU
rnacentral:tRNA from 1 species